rnacentral:lncRNA from 1 species
GAAGCAUGGUUAUGUCCCCUGAAGCCCUGGUCCACAUGAAGUUCUUCCUGCUUUUCUUCAGAGGAAGAUGCAGGAGCUGGUUAAAGGAGUGGAUUUUGCAUUCAGACAUCUCUUGGGGCUGCCUGUAGGUGGAUAUGUUCAUGGAAGAUGGUGAAAAAGACAAGAAUAGGAUUUGCUGUAUAGAAUCACUAUAGUCACCAUCACACUGAGUGUCAACAACAUCUCUUGUUAUCCUCACAACUGUGUAAAACAGGUAAAGAGGAGAGUAUGACACCGUAUUAGUCCAUUCUCACACAGCUAUAAAAAAUACCUGAGACUAUGUAAUUUAUAAAGAAAAGAGGUUUAUUUGGCUCACAGUUCCACAGGCUGUACAGGAAGCAUGAUGCUGGCAUCUGCUUAGCUU